rnacentral:rRNA from 1 species
GACGAACGCUGGCGGCGUGCUUAACACAUGCAAGUCGAACGGAAAGGCUCCAGCUUGCUGGAGUGCUCGAGUGGCGAACGGGUGAGUAACACGUGGGCAAUCUGCCCUGCACUCUGGGAUAAGCCUGGGAAACUGGGUCUAAUACCGGAUAGGACCUUUCUCCUCAUGGGGUUUGGUGGAAAGUUUUUCGGUGCAGGAUGAGCCCGCGGCCUAUCAGCUUGUUGGUGGGGUAAGGGCCUACCAAGGCGACGACGGGUAGCCGGCCUGAGAGGGGGAGCGGCCACAUUGGGCCUGAGAUACGGCCCAGACUCCUACGGGAGGCAGCAGUGGGGAAUAUUGCACAGUCGGCGCAAGCCUGAUGCAGCGACGCCGCGUGAGGGAUGACGGCCUUCGGGUUGUAAACCUCUUUCAGUAGGGACGAAGCGCAAGUGACGGUACCUGCAGAAGAAGCACCGGCUAACUACGUG